AUGUUGUAGCAGAGGCACCCAGGCUCGGCCAUUGCACUCCGGCCGUACUGACCCCUGCAAAUUCCCCAAAGGUGGGAAUCUUGACUGCAUAAGUUGUGUUAGUGGGGGACUGCAUCACACUGUCCCCUG
ensembl:snRNA U1 U1 spliceosomal RNA